ACAUAAGUAACAUGCUUUAAAGACAUAAUUAACGCAGGCUCGAUCAACAUGAGCUGCUUCCCCUAGACCCAAAACGGGAUCAGUUUUGGGUCUUUUUUU
rnacentral:sRNA from 1 species